rnacentral:rRNA from 1 species
GAUGAACGCUGGCGGCGUGCCUAAUACAUGCAAGUCGAGCGAACAGAUGAGGAGCUUGCUCCUCUGACGUUAGCGGCGGACGGGUGAGUAACACGUGGAUAACCUACCUAUAAGACUGGGAUAACUUCGGGAAACCGGAGCUAAUACCGGAUAAUAUAUUGAACCGCAUGGUUCAAUAGUGAAAGACGGUUUUGCUGUCACUUAUAGAUGGAUCCGCGCCGCAUUAGCUAGUUGGUAAGGUAACGGCUUACCAAGGCAACGAUGCGUAGCCGACCUGAGAGGGUGAUCGCCCAGCCGGGAACUGAGACACGGCACAGACUCCGACGGGAGGCAGCAGUAGGGAAUCUUACGCAAUGGGGGAAAGCCUGACGGAGCAACGCCGCGUGAGUGAUGAAGGUCUUCGGAUCGUAAAACUAUGUUAGUAGGGAAGAACAAAUGUGUAAGUAACUAUGCACGUCUUGACGGUACCUAAUCAGAAAGCCACGGCUAACUACGUG